UAGGGGAAAACUCGGCUGCUUUUAUCUUUUGGAAUGGCAUCGAUUCUUGUGCGAUCGUGCUUUGUCUUAGGCUUCUGCACCACGUUAUGAACGAAAACUGCUCGCUUCCACCCUGAAAGGACUGGGAAUGCUAUGCAGAUGUAGAAAUCUCAGCAACCUCUCCAGCAACAUGUCUGCCUCCAUGCCACCAGGCUUCUCACCAUUGAUGAUAAUGGGAGCAAGCCCCAGAUUUUCUGCCUGGAGAAAUCCUGCCUGUACAUUGGCCAAAACAGCUUUAUUCAUCAGCCAAUAAGAGAAACAUAUAUUCACAGCAUACAGAAGGAUAUCCCCCCAUCAUGGAAAGUCAACAAACUUGAUUAAGAGCACCACAACACUUAAAAUGACUAAGAAGAUAAAUUUUAUGUAGAAUUCUGUCUGGGUCCAAAUAUCAAUAUGAUAUUUCGGAUGCAAGGCCUCAAGCUCAAUCCCAGGAGCUCGAAUCUCCCAUUCUUUCAGAAGCUGGCUGAUUACCUUGGGAUACCUGGCCUUGGUGGGGACUGGUUCCUAGUUGUGUAACAAUAGAUCUAGGCCCCUGGGUGGACUCACAUCCAUCAUGGGGGCUGGUGGAACGUGCUUGGAGACUAGUAAGGGACUAGUGAGGACAUGCAGUUUUAGGGGUGUCUCUAGGAUUAAAAGAAAUAUUUGAUAUCAGCUUUAUAUAUGAUAAUAGAUGUCUUCUGCUCUCAC